ensembl:lncRNA
CUCUCGUUACGUCAAGUCCUCCAUUCCCAGUGACUGUUAUUGGAGAAGAGCUAACGGCUAGCUGCUGAACGACUUCGCUAACCUCACUCAGAUAAAGUGUCUAAGCUCAGAUACAGGUGAAUUGCGCUCGCUUCUGAGUCCCGUCCCUGAAAAGCAGCAUGUCCAGCGACCCCCCUCCGCCCUACCCAGGGGGCCCCAGCGCUCCUCUUAUAGAGGAAAAGAAUGGACAGCCUCCAGUCUCUGGUAUAGC